rnacentral:ncRNA from 1 species
UGUCGGAGUGCUUAGUACUUUUUUAAAGUACGAGCUGAGACCGCGUUGCGGGAUCCGUAGAACCUGAUCAGGCUAAUACCUGCGAAGGGAACAAGAGAUAAU